rnacentral:misc_RNA from 1 species
GAUGAAGAACGUAGCGAAAUGCGAUAAGUAAUGUGAAUUGCAGAAUUCAGUGAAUCAUCGAAUCUUUGAACGCAUAUUGCGCUCUCUGGUAUUCCGGAGAGCAUGCUUGUUUGAGUAUCAGUAAACACCUCAACUUCCAUAUCUUUUUUGAAAUGGGAGUUGGACUUGAGUGAUCCCAACGCUUUUCCUCACCGAAAAGUGGCGGGUUACUUGAAAUGCAGGUGCAGCUGGACUUUUCUCUGAGCUAUAAGCAUAUCUAUUUAGUCUGCCUAAAAAACAGAUUAUUACCUUUGCUGCAGCUAACAUAAAGGAGAUUAGUUCUUGUGCUGACUGAUGCAGGAUUCACAGAGACAGCUUCGGCUGACUUUGUAAACUCGAUCUCAAAUCAAGUAAGACUACCCGCUGAACUUAAGCAUAUCAAUAAGCGGAGGA